rnacentral:rRNA from 1 species
AUACGGAGGGUCCAAGCGUUAUCCGGAUUCAUUGGGUUUAAAGGGUCCGCAGGCGGGGAAAUAAGUCAGUGGUGAAAGCCUACAGCUCAACUGUAGAACUGCCAUUGGUACUGUUUUUCUUGAGUAUAGAUGAAGUGGGCGGAAUAUAUCAUGUAGCGGUGAAAUGCAUAGAUAUGAUAUAGAACACCGAUUGCGAAGGCAGCUCACUAAACUAUUACUGACGCUCAGGGACGAAAGCGUGGGGAGCGAACAGGAUUAGAAACCCCAGUAGUCC